rnacentral:tRNA from 1 species
GACCCUGUAGCGCAAUGGAUAGCACGUUGGACUUCUAAUCCAAAGGUCGUGGCUUUGAAUCCCACCAGGGAUA